AUGUCCAUAAUGUGCAUGCUGUCUCAAUUUUUUACAGACUUAUGGAAAAUCAUAAUGAAAACACCUUGAGAAUGGAUGUUAUUUGUACUGAUUUGAACACAGGAUAUUUCCAGAUGGGAAGUGAGGCAUGCUUCUAGGAAGCAUACUGACCAUGAGGAAGCCCACGUGUUAGUGACCAGUUUUUGCUAAUCCCACCGAAGAAAAUGAAGCCACGUUCCAGCUUUGCCGAUCCUUUUCCCACCCUGUUGGCUGAAUGAGAAGCGGUCGUGU
rnacentral:lncRNA from 1 species